GCUGGGCGUGGUGGCGCGUGCCUGUAGUCCCAGCUACUUGGGAGGCCGAGACAGGAGAAUCACUUGAACCCAGGAGGCGGAGGUUGCAGUGAGCCGAGAUGGCGCCACUGCACUCCAACCUGGGCGACAGAGUGAGACUCUGCCUCAA
rnacentral:sRNA from 1 species